UACGGGGGGGGCAAGCGUUGUUCGGAAUUACUGGGCGUAAAGGCCUCGUAGGCGGCCAACUAAGUCAGACGUGAAAUCCCUCGGCUUAACCGGGGAACUGCCUCUGAUACUGGAUGGCUUGAGAUUGGGAGAGGGAUGCGGAAUUCCAGGUGUAGCGGUGAAAUGCGUAGAUAUCUGGAGGAACACCGGUGGCGAAGGCGGCAUCCUGGACCAACACUGACGCUGAGGAGCGAAAGCCAGGGGAGCAAACGGG
rnacentral:rRNA from 1 species